AUUGAACGCUGGCGGCAGGCCUCACACAUGCAAGUCGAACGAGUGGCGGACGGGUGAGUAAUGUCUGGGAAACUGCCUGAUGGAGGGGGAUAACUACUGGAAACGGUAGCUAAUACCGCAUACCAUCAGAUGUGCCCAGAUCGGAUUAGCUAGUAGGUGAGGUAACGGCUCACCUAGGCGCCGAUCACUAGCUGGGCUGAGAGGAUGACCAGCCACACUGGAACGUAGACACGGUCCAGACUCCGACGGGAGGCAGCAGUGGGGAAUAUUGCACAAUGGGCGCAAGCCUGAUGCAGCCAGGCCGCGUGUAUGAAGAAGGCCUUCGGGUUGUAAAGUACUUUCAGCGGGGAGGCGUUACCCGCAGAAGAAGCACCGGCUAACUCCGUGCCAGCAGCCGCGGUAAUUC
rnacentral:rRNA from 1 species